rnacentral:rRNA from 1 species
UACAGAGGUCCCAAGCGUUGUUCGGAUUCACUGGGCGUAAAGGGUGCGUAGGUGGCCAGGUAAGUUCGGUGUGAAAGCUCGGAGCUUAACUCCGAAAUGGCAUUGAAUACUAUCUGCUAGAGGUUCGGAGGGGAGACUGGAAUUCUCGGUGUAGCAGUGAAAUGCGUAGAUAUCGAGAGGAACACCAGUGGCGAAGGCGAGUCUCUGGACGAGUCCUGACACUGAGGCACGAAAGCCAGGGGAGCAAAC